GCUAAAAAUCAAGCAACUGGAAGGCCAAAUCAGUCCCAAAUCGAAAUCCAAGCUUAUUUAGUGAUCACCUAAGCGAAGGGAUCACAAGUUUGACUCUGACAAGCUUGGUAGGAGCUUGGAAAUGAACGGGUCAAAUGGAUACAAGUUCAAGUAUGAAGCUCGCAAGGAUGCAAGGUGAAUGUAGCUACCAUCCGGGUGUCGAUCAAGCAAUGAAGUGAACCGAACACUAUGCAGUUACAAGCUUCCGCACAUAGUUUCGUCGUUAUUUUUAAACGGCGAACUCAAUUACAUUACGUUGUAUUGUUCUUUAAUUGUAAAAGUUUUAAUAAACCCGUAUUUUUCAAUAUAUGU